rnacentral:rRNA from 1 species
GAUGAACGCUGGCGGCGUGCCUAAUACAUGCAAGUCGAGCGAACAGACGAGGAGCUUGCUCCUUCGACGUUAGCGGCGGACGGGUGAGUAACACGUAGGUAACCUACCUAUAAGACUGGGAUAACUUCGGGAAACCGGAGCUAAUACCGGAUAAUAUUUCGAACCGCAUGGUUCGAUAGUGAAAGAUGGCUUUGCUAUCACUUGUAGAUGGACCUGCGCCGUAUUAGCUAGUUGGUAAGGUAACGGCUUACCAAGGCAACGAUACGUAGCCGACCUGAGAGGGUGAUCGGCCACACUGGAACUGAGACACGGUCCAGACUCCUACGGGAGGCAGCAGUAGGGAAUCUUCCGCAAUGGGCGAAAGCCUGACGGAGCAACGCCGCGUGAGUGAUGAAGGUCUUCGGAUCGUAAAACUCUGUUAUUAGGGAAGAACAAACGUGUAAGUAACUGUGCACGUCUUGACGGUACCUAAUCAGAAAGCCACGGCUAACUACGUG